UCCAAUCGAACCCGGAGAUAGCUGGUUCUCCCCGAAAUAGCUUUAGGGCUAGCGUUGUGAGAAGAGUUAUACGAAGGUAGAGCACUGAAUGGGUGAGGGCCGCACCUCGCGGUACCAAUCUCAAUCAAACUCCGAAUGUCGUAUAAUAUGCGCAGCAGUAAGACUAUGGGUGAUAAGGUCCAUGGUCAAAAGGGAAACAGCCCAGACCGCCAGUUAAGGUCCCAAAAUUAUGCUAAGUGGGAAAGGAGGUGGAGUCGCUUAAACAACUAGGAGGUUGGCUCAGAAGCAGCCAUCCUUUAAAGAGUGCGUAAUAGCUCACUAGUCGAGUGAUUCUGCGCCGAAAAUGUAUCGGGGCUAAGCAUAAUACCGAAGCUGCGGGAUUAGAUGAAGAAUCUAAUCGGUAGGGGAGCGUACUAAGUGCGUAGAAGGUUGACCGGAAGGGCAGCUGGAGCGCUUAGCAGUGAGUAUGCCGGUGUGAGUAGCGAUAAGAUGGGUGAGAAUCCCAUCCGUCGAAAGCCUAAGGUUUCCAGGGGUAAGGCUCGUCCUCCCUGGGUAAGUCGGGUCCUAAGGUGAGGCUGAGAAGCGUAGCUGAUGGACAUCAGGUUGAUAUUCCUGAACCACCAUAAAACUGAAGGAAUGACGGAGGAGGCUAAUCAGAGCUGAUUAAUGGAUUUCAGUUUAAGUACAAAGAGGGUUACGUAGGCAAAUCCGCGUAGCAAAACCUUGAAGUAUGAUGACGUAAGUCUGGUGAAGCCACACUUCCAAGAAAAGUUUCUAGGUGUAUUUUAUGGUGCCCGUACCGUAAACGGACACACGUAGGCGAGGAGAGAAUCCAAAGACGCGCGAGAUAAUUCUUGUUAAGGAACUCUGCAAAAUUACUCUGUAACUUCGGAAUAAAGAGGGCUCCCGUGAGGGAGACGCAGAAAAUAGGCCCAAGCGACUGUUUAACAAAAACAUAGGUUUCUGCUAAAGCGUAAGCUGAUGUAUAGGAGCUGACGCCUGCCCAGUGCUGGAAGGUUAAGAGGAGAAGUUAGUCGCAAGGCGAAGCUUUGAAUUGAAGCCCCAGUAAACGGCGGCCGUAACUAUAACGGUCCUAAGGUAGCGAAAUUCCUUGUCAGGUAAGUUCUGACCCGCACGAAAGGCGUAAUGAUUUGGGCACUGUCUCGACAAUGUACCCGGCGAAAUUGUAGUACUAGUGAAGAUGCUAGUUACCUGCGACAAGACAGAAAGACCCCAUGGAGCUUUACUGCAGUUUGAUACUGGGUUUCGAUAAGUUAUGUACAGGAUAGGUGGGAGACAAAGAAAGAAAGGCGUCAGCUUUUCCGGAGUCACCGUUGGGAUACCACCCUUAAUUUGUUGGAAUUCUAACUAGUGGUCAUGAUCUGGCCAGAGGACAAUGUCAGACGGGCAGUUUGACUGGGGCGGUCGCCUCCAAAAGAGUAACGGAGGCGCCCAAAGGUUCCCUCAGUGCGGACAGAAAUCGCACGAAAGAGUGUAAAGGCAGAAGGGAGCUUAACUGGAAGAUAGACAUAUCGAGCAGAUACGAAAGUAGGGCUUAGUGAUCCGGUGGAUAUUGAAUGGAAAAGCCAUCGCUCAACGGACAAAAGUUACCCUGGGGAUAACAGGCUUAUCUCCCCCAAGAGUUCACAUCGACGGGGAGGUUUGGCACCUCGAUGUCGGCUCA
rnacentral:rRNA from 1 species